UGGGGAAUAUUGCACAAUGGGGGAAACCCUGAUGCAGCGACGCCGCGUGAACGAAGAAGGUAUUCGUAUCGUAAAGUUCUGUCCUAUGGGAAGAUAAUGACAGUACCAUAGAAGAAAGCUCCGGCUAAAUACGUGCCAGCAGCCGCGGUAAUACGUAUGGAGCGAGCGUUGUCCGGAAUUAUUGGGCGUAAAGGGUACGCAGGCGGUUUAAUAAGUCGAAUGUUAAAGAUCGGGGCUGAACCCCGCAAAGCAUUGGAAACUGAUAAACUAGAGUAGUGGAGAGGAAAGUGGAAUUCAUAGUGUAGUGGUGAAAUACGUAGAUAUUAGGAGGAAUACCAGUAGGGAAGGCGACUGUCUGGACACAAACUGACGCUGAGGUACGAAAGCGUGGGGAGCAAACAGG
rnacentral:rRNA from 1 species